rnacentral:rRNA from 1 species
GAUGAACGCUAGCGGCAGGCUUAAUACAUGCAAGUCGAGGGGCAGCGCAGUGUAGCAAUACAUGGGCGGCGACCGGCAAACGGGUGCGGAACACGUACAGAACCUUCCUUCGAGCGGGGGAUAGCCCAGAGAAAUUUGGAUUAAUACCCCAUAGUAUAGCGGAGUGGCAUCACUUUGUUAUUAUAGCUCCGGCGCUUAAAGAUGGCAGUGCGGCUGAUUAGGUAGUUGGCGGGGUAACGGCCCACCAAGCCUGCGAUCAGUAACUGGUGUGAGAGCACGACCAGUCACACGGGCACUGAGACACGGGCCCGACUCCUACGGGAGGCAGCAGUAAGGAAUAUUGGGCAAUGGACGCAAGUCUGACCCAGCCAUGCCGCGUGGAGGAUGAAGGUCCUCUGGAUUGUAAACUUCUUUUAUAUGGGACGAAAAAGGGUCUUUCUAGAUCAACUGACGGUACCAUAUGAAUAAGCACCGGCUAACUCCGUGCCAGCAGCCGCGGUAACAC